GUAGGUGGCAAGCGUUGUCCGGAAUUAUUGGGCGUAAAGCGCGCGCAGGUGGUUCUUUAAGUCUGAUGUGAAAGCCCCCGGCUCAACCGGGGAGGGUCAUUGGAAACUGGGAACUUGAGUGCAGGAGAGGAAAGUGGAAUUCCACGUGUAGCGGUGAAAUGCGUAGAUAUGUGGAGGAACACCAGUGGCGAAGGCGACUUUCUGGCCUGUAACUGACACUGAGGCGCGAAAGCGUGGGGAGCAAACAGGGAUUAGAUACCCUGGUAGUCCACGCCGUAAACGAUGAGUGCUAAGUGUUGGGGGGGUUUCCCGCCCCUCAGUGCUGCAGCUAACGCAUUAAGCACUCCGCCUGGGGAGUACGGUCGCAAGACUG
rnacentral:rRNA from 1 species